rnacentral:rRNA from 1 species
AUGGCUGCCCAGCCCGACUGGCCGAACCUCCCCUCCGAUCUACUGACGAUCAUCGCGCGGAGGUCCCGCGACGCCGUCACCGGGCUCACCGCGUUCCGCUCCGUGUGCCGGACAUGGCGCUCUGCGGCAGGGCCAGCGCCGCGCCUCCUGCUCCUGCUCCCCCGUCCUCGUCCCACACGGCUCGUCUUUCCCUUGGCGCGUGGCUGGUCGAUCGUCUUCGAUGUCCGCGACGCCGCCUGCCACCUCUCGCAUCUGGCCACGGGAGCCACGGCCGCCCUGCCCAGGCUCAACGCCUCCCGCGACGCUGGCAGCGACGUGGUCAGGCACGUCAGAUACCUGGAUUGCAACGACCUGGAGACGGCGAUCCGUAGCGGCUGGAUCUACCCAACCUACCUCGACUUCGCGGACUGCUUACGCUUCGCCGUCCACAUCCCACCUGGCUCCGGCUCCGGCUCCCCGGCGGGGAUGACGAUCAUGAUGUACCACAUAAUGCACGAGGAGACGAGCAUGCUCUUCUGCCGCCCCGGAGACGCAGCCUGGACCAAGGUGGGGAAGCCCAACCACACAGGCUACGGCUACUUCGACUUGGCCUACCACGACGGCAGGAUGUUCGGCAUGCGCGUCAACGGCCAGAUGGCGGUGUUCGACGCCACCACGCUCGACGCCCUCCAGCUGGUCCAGAGCCCGCCGGCCACGCCUAACCUCGCCAACAAGAUGUACGGCUGCUGCUGUCGGAUGGAAGAGUUCAGUUAUGCCCACCUUGUUGCGUUGCCGAGCAAGCUGGUCCUGGUCAGGACCACCGUCAAGUCUUCCCGGCCGGUGGCCUUCACCAUCUUCCAGUUAGUCUCUGCGCCUGACGGGCGGCUCGCCUGGCGCAUGGUGGCCGAUGCUGGCAACUACGAGUUGUUCGUGGAUGGAUACCACACCACCUUCAGGGAAAACGACGGCGCCAACGGGGGUGGAACUUGGAUCUACUAUGUUCAUGAGACGCAAUAUCUUGCUUACACGGCGGCCUACCGCUACAGCGUGCAGCAUAAAAAGUUGGAAUGCGUCUACAAGUCACCCAAGGGUGUCAGUCCCGAGUUCUCAACCAAGUCCGCUUGGUUUGUUCCCUAG